GGUCAAAGAAGCAUUCUUUUUUCUUUAUAAAGAUUCUCUACACCGAGCAGGGGGCUUGAACUCCCAGCCCUGAGGUCGAGGCUCGUGUCAGCCCGACGCCCCCAGAGGUGUGUUAUCUGCCUCAAGACCCCCCCAGGCAUGCCUUACCGAGGAGCUGACAGGCUUGUCAUUCUGAACCCCACUCCCGCCUAAGGAGAAAGAUGAUUCCAGCGGAUGGGGAGGGAAACUCCCUCGUGGUGUCGCCAGAUAAAGUACAGAGCCGACGCUCAGUUAAACCUGAAUUUCAGAAAAUCCUGUUAGCGUGUCCUGAAUAAUUGCAUUGCUCAUUCUCUGAAAUCCAGAUUUAACUGGGUGUCCCAUACUGUUAAUUUGCCGAAUCUGGCAGCCCUGCUUGGCCAAUGCGGGUCACUGAGAACCGUCCGACUGGACAAGACAUUUGUCCUGAGAGGAGCAAAGAGGAGUUUGGGCGGAGGCGGGGAGGCCGCGGGAGGCCUUUCUGCGUCAGACUCCGUCCCGCAGACGACGGAAGCAGACGGAAGAUUCGGUCUGCACCAGUGGGCUGCGUUUUCUACCAUUUGCCUUGAUGCUCUCUGACAUAAGGCUGUGACCAUUCACGUUCCUACCAGCAAUGUAUACAGUGUCUCAUUUUUCCACAUCUUUAUCAGAUUUGGAAAUUUAAAAAAAAAAUGCCAAUCUGAGCCAGCGUCCACCGCAGCCGGGGGCAGCCCUCUGCCCAGUCUCAGCCAGUCAGCUAUCCCACCAGCACAGACAUUCUGCAGGACCCCGUCACCACCGCCUGUGGGCUCCAGUGUCCCUCAGAUGCGUCCCUCCGAUGCGUCCCUCCGAGGGGGAAGCAUCCAACCAUACUCUUGGGUGUCCUUGGGCAACGGCUCUGUGGAGAGGAAGACAUGGGGCCCACCUGGCUGCUGGUGAAUCUGCAGGACACCGUCCGAGCCCUGGAGCCCUUGGACAUGCAGCCAGAAAGGGAGAGGCUCUGUGAGCACAAUGCAGAGCUCCUCUCCGCUGUGAGCUGAGUCCAAGGACCAGAGAUUCCACCACACGAAUGUCACAGAAGCUGCUGUUGUUACCAGGGAAGCACGUGAGUCCCUUCUCUGACCCCCCACCCGACCAGGAGCUCCGGGAGGCCCUGGGAACUGUCACCUCCUGGAUCUGGCCCCGCAUCCCAUUGCCCCCGUCCUUGCCCACGUGUAGGCAGUUCACCGGGGGCUCAAACAACUGAUGGCUGUUGAAAUCAAGGCAUCAUGGAGAAUGGGAAGAAUGUGGACUUUGAGCCGGAAGGUUUGGGCUCCAGUUCAGACUCCUGAGUUUCCUGCGUGACGUUCGAGGACUUACUUUGCCUCUCUGCGGCUCACGAGCCUCACCCGUCACAGACGGCAGACAGAAUGUCCCUCGCAGAGCUGCUGGCGAGAUCAACGAGGGCAAGUCUGUGGUAGCUCUGGGAUCCUCCCAAAGCACCCCCAAUAUUGGCCAUAACAUAUUAGUGAUAAUUUACAUACCCCCCUUGCAGGUCACUCGGCUCCCCAGCACACCCAGCCCCAGCUUGAGCAACAAAGGGGUCAUUACACACGGACUCCCCUGGGUGAGCCUGACCGCCAUCCUGAGGGAGGGCUCCAGGCACAGCUUCCCAAACUCUCCCCACGGGGGCAGUUUCCUUUGGAUUGAGGUCUUUUUCUUUUUUAAGGUUUAUUUAUUUAUUUGAGAGAGAGCAGGAGAGCAGGGGGAGGAGCAGAGGGAGAGGGAGAGAGAAUCUCCAGCA